rnacentral:rRNA from 1 species
AUGGCGUGCGGCUACAGAGCGGCGGCGCGCGACGUCUCCGGCGUGCUCCUCCUCCUCCUCAUCAUCGUGGCCUCUCUCGCCACGGUCACCAGGUCGGCGUGGGUGGGCGACUACGCGUCGGACCACGGGUGCGGGAAGACGUUCGUGGAGGCGCUGUGCGACCCGGCGGACGCGGCCCAGAACCGCGCCUGCAGCGACGCCUGCCACUACAACGGCUGCGGCGGCGGCCGCUGCGUCUACGUCGGCGCGGCCCGGGGAUGCUACUGCAAGCCAUAG